rnacentral:rRNA from 1 species
UACGAAGGGGGCUAGCGUUGCUCGGAUUGACUGGGCGUAAAGGGCGCGUAGGCGGUUCGUAUAGUCAGACGUGAAAUUCCUGGGCUCAACCUGGGGGCUGCGUUUGAUACGUGCGGACUUGAGUGCGGAAGAGGGUCGUGGAAUUCCCAGUGUAGAGGUGAAAUUCGUAGAUAUUGGGAAGAACACCGGUGGCGAAGGCGGCGACCUGGUCCGAUACUGACGCUGAGGCGCGAAAGCGUGGGGAGCAAACAGG